CUUCCGUAGGUGAACCUGCGGAAGGAUCAUUACCGAGUUUUCGAGCUCCGGCUCGACUCUCCCACCCUUUGUGAACGUACCUCUGUUGCUUUGGCGGCUCCGGCCGCCAAAGGACCUUCAAACUCCAGUCAGUAAACGCAGACGUCUGAUAAACAAGUUAAUAAACUAAAACUUUCAACAACGGAUCUCUUGGUUCUGGCAUCGAUGAAGAACGCAGCGAAAUGCGAUAAGUAAUGUGAAUUGCAGAAUUCAGUGAAUCAUCGAAUCUUUGAACGCACAUUGCGCCCCUUGGUAUUCCGGGGGGCAUGCCUGUUCGAGCGUCAUUACAACCCUCAAGCUCUGCUUGGAAUUGGGCACCGUCCUCACUGCGGACGCGCCUCAAAGACCUCGGCGGUGGCUGUUCAGCCCUCAAGCGUAGUAGAAUACACCUCGCUUUGGAGCGGUUGGCGUCGCCCGCCGGACGAACCUUCUGAACUUUCUCAAGGUGACCUCGGAUCAGGUA
rnacentral:rRNA from 1 species